rnacentral:snoRNA from 1 species
ACCCCCUGGAGAUGGGCUAGGAGACACCUGAUUGGUGGUGUUGCUCUUAUGCCAACCAGGGGCAAAGCAGAUGGACAGUUCUUAGUUCAUCCUAGCUUGAUGCCUGUGUUGGUGGCCAGAGCUGUUUGAUGCCUGAGGCACAUAA